AGGAUAAACGCUGGCGGCGUGCCUAAUCAAUGCGAGUCGAACGGGCACCUUCGGGUGUCAGUGGCGUCCGGGUGAGUAACGCGUAGCUAACCUGCCCACAGGUGGGGGAUACCCGCCAGAAAUGGCGGCUAAUACCGCAUAGCGUGACGAGGGGGUGACCUUCGGCACGAAAGCCGCAAGGUGUCUGUGGAGGGGCUGCGUCCGAUUAGCUGGUCGGUGGGGUAACGGCCUACCGAGGCGACGAUCGGUAGCUGGU
rnacentral:rRNA from 1 species